AACCAUUCUCCCUUGUCCUACCACUAUCCACCCUCAUAAACAGCUGUUCCCCCUCCUGUUUAUAUGCACCCUUCAAGUACUGGAAGGCCACAAUGAGGUCUCCCUGGAUUAUGCUGCAGUUUGGAGCAAAUCUCAUUGAAGGUUUUGGUUUUGGCUUUGGCUUUGUGUGAUUAGAAGCAUGUCACCCAUUACUUUUGGUUAUUAUCCAUGCCUUCAGUGUACAUAAAUUUGUUUUCUACAAUAUAAACUGUCCAUGUAAAUGGACAAAUGUAAAGUGUUCUCCAGUGACUCAGAAGGUAAUCUGAAAAAACAAAAGCAAAGCCAACCUGAACUCCACAAAGAAAAUAGAACCCCAACUUUCUAAGUGCUGGCUUAUGCAAGAAUACACUCAUCACCUCAUUCCACCUUGGACUUCAUCUAUGUUUAAUUCUGCAUACCAAAAUGCCUUGAGAAGAACACUGCAGCAUUACUUUAUUGUAGGUGCAUUUCUUUUUUCCAUGUAAAGACUUCAGUCUCCAAUUUCUUUGUCUUGAGCAUACCAAUGCCCACUAGCCUGCAGAUGAGACACAGGUGGAACUUCAGCUGCUUGGCUUCGGCUCCACAAACCUUUUCCUCUUGUGUUUCUUUAUCUUUUCUCUUGACAGAUGAGUGACUCAUUACACUGGAGUUCUGAGUCCACAGAUAGACAUAUUGGCUGAAGCGUAUGCCGAAUGUGGUCUAGUAGAUGAGGAUUCAUUAGUCUGUUGGUUUUUAUCCUUGCAUGAUGCAGUGUUUCCCCCCCUCCAGAUAUGUUGCCUUACAUAUUGGUUUAUUUAGAUGCUCACUAGAGGUUUCUUUGGUUUACCUUCUUGAACAUUCAGUUGCCAGCAGUGGGUGUAAGCUCCAGGGUUGACAGCUAGUCCUGUUUGCAAAUGUAGACUGCUCCCUGAGGCACAAUUCCUUUGUUAGUGAUGUUUCCAAGCUAUACGGAAUUACACAACAGUCAUGAGAGUAAAUACUGUCUUAUGUCAUUUUUAAUCCUUUUUCUAAUUAGAAUUUGUCAUUUUAUAUGUUUUCAGAAGUCGGCUCAUUGCUUUUACCUGUGCACUGAGCUUCCUCUGAGCAGGUUUUGCAUGUUUCAUAGGAUGCAAUAAGACCACUGAAUAGAAAACAACUGGAUUUUCAACUGCACUGUAGUACCUCCAUGCAAGAAGACAUGAGCAUACAUUUUCCACUGAAGCAUCAAAUGUUACCCACCAUCACAUGGAGCACAGAAGAUUCUUGAGUGAGUAAAUGAUCUGCAGUGACCAUCUCUGUAAUCCUGGGAGAUGAAACAACCAUCAGCAUCUGUGUAACUGCAUCGGCGUACCCAGCUAUAACCUCCCCAGAUUCCUCUAAAGUAAGAGAUAUUAGCAACAAAAUGAGUAAGAUUUCUGUGGGUUUUAGCAAUAGGUCAGUAACAUAAUGCAUGCAGGUUUUGACCACAAUCUUGGCUGAGAACUUGUUGAAAGUUCCUGCUUAAACCGCAGAGCUUCAGAAGUAAACACAGGACAUCCCUUUCCAAGGGCACAAACUGCAGUGGAUUACAUGCAGCUCUAAACAUAAACAAAUGUAAUUCCACUGAAAUUAGAAAGCGGGCACAGCUUAGUACAAGGGUUAAAUUUGAUUCCUAGACUGGGGUCUAAGAUUCUCAAAAAUCAUUAAGUUACAUUUCUUCUGUGACAUUACCAGCUUGGUAGUACACAGCCUUGCUCAUAGUGAACAGCAAGGAGAACACGAAUAAUCUUGGUGAGGUUUUUUUCCCAGUAAAAUUCACAUACUGUCAAGUUGUAUUUUUUCUGCGUGUUCAUCUCAGGAAUAAUUUGGCCAAACAGCUUCACAUUUGCAGCACUGCUUGUGCAUCAGUGCCCGUCCAGCAUUAGCAGGGCCUGACAGCAGGCUUGUAUUUCAGGGUUCAUGAGCCUCUGUUGAGGCUUGUCACUUGAGUUAAGGCAGUUUAAAAUUGGCAUGGGUAUCCUUACAGCAUGACUGAAGUUGGAGCACACGGAGCAGCAGGUUUUGCUUUGAAACUCAAUCCUUAAACAAAUGCCUAUGCUGAGCUUUAAUUAUUGAGCUCUUAGUUCUCCUCCCUGAUACUCUGUCCUGCCACCAAGAGACCAGACUGGUUUUCCUUGAGAACUUUCCAUGGCAUGUUUAUGCCCGUGAUAUUUUAUUUCUUAAGGCUGAGAAACAAUAGCAUUGCUGCGGUACAGUCUCUGUUUUUUCUUUCAGUAGCCUGAGCUUUUUUUAUUAUUAUUUUCAAUAUCAACUUUUUUUUUUUCACUUCAGUUUCAUUUCAUGCAGCUGCUGAGAAUGACAUUUCUCUCCAUAAAGUGUGUUCAGAGGAAAUGCGCACAGACUGAUGUCAGACUAUGAGUUGUGAGGCUGGGAGUUGGGCAGGUCUCCUGAGAGCUGUGUCAGCACUGAUGCCUUGUACACAGAGGUGUGGGCUGCAACUCCCCUUUGUCUGCCUGAUGGCAAGUUCUCCAGGGACAGCAUCUGUUUCACACCAAAAAGAGAACUCCAUGCCAUAGCUGUCUUCACCACAGCCAUGCUGACCCAGAUUCACUUUUAUGCUAGUGAAAAUCCAUUUAUUUCAAAGCGAUAUUUGUUUUGCUUAUAUCCCUAUCUUUAAGAAACAGGUCAAACUUGUCAGCCAUGUGAUUCAGUUUACUCAUCUGUAAAAUUGACAUGUUUUUUCCUUGGCUCAGGAGUGUGGGUGGAGGGGUUUUGUAAUGUAUGUGAACAAAACAACAACAACAAAAAAAUAGCUUGUGCUAAGAGUGAUUGUUUCUGAAAUGCUAGCUAUUAGAUCUAUUCUGGUUUGAAUAAAACAUUGGCAAGCCACAAGGCUUUUUUUCCCUGCCUAAUACAUUCUUAUGGGCAUUCCAGCUUUGAUCCCUCCCACGGAGUUACAGCUUUACAGGAACAUGCCUCAGUCUAGCUUACAGGACUACCACGUUGCUUAUAUAAGUGCCAACAAAGCUGGGCACGUAUUCUGUUUCUGCUUAUUGUGCUGGACUAUGACGGUAGGUAGCACUGGUACCACAAAGAUGUUAUUCAGUGGAAUUUCAUCACUUGUGCCAGCAUAAACUUUUUUCCUCCUUAUCUUUUGUAUCUCUUAGUGAUGUUACAGUAUCGGUAACUUUGUUUGGCACAGGCAAAUCCUGCCUCUGUAGAUAGCACCUGCGAGAUUAGCUCGUUUAACGCUGAUUUAGACUUAACGCUGGAGCCAGGAUGACAUCAUGCCUGUAUCGUUAUGGAAACAAUUAGACCAGUGCUAAGAUUUGCCAAUAGAGCUGACGUCUUGGUUAUAACACCUACCAUACUUCUUGCUGUAUGAAACAUGCUGGCCUGUAUGAAAAAUUCCUCUUCCCUUUUUUUUUCCCCAGUUCACACAGUACCACCUGCCCUUUCGGCUUCUAAAAUUGGUUUAUUGACAUAACCCACGAAAACAAAACGCUGCUGCGCAUAAGGAUGUAAUUUAUGCUUUUGUCCAGUUACUGACAAAGGCUUUACGUCAGCAUAUUAAAACAAAUUAUGUUUAUCAGCACAUUUUUUGAGCAAGCAGAUCUCCGUGGCGUUUUUUUCUGUCACGAUGCCAAUUAUUAGAAAGAACGACCCCAGUGCUCCCUUGAACCUCCUACGGUAGAUUUUUAGAUUCUUAAAUUGAAAACCAAUUUCUGGUAAAUACGGAUUUAUCAGAAAGCAGCUGACAUAGCAUAACAUUUUCUCCCCUUGUCAUUAAGCACGUGGAUUUAAUUUUUAGGCUGUAAGUUCAUAAACCCAUGUUCUACAUAUGUUGCAUGCAUUUUGAUAUUCAUAAAUGGAUGCUUGUUUCAUUUGGUUUUUAAGCAGCACCUUUGUCUACUCCUACGUAAGUCCCUAAUCUUUCUGGUAAAAUGAACAAUACCAUUGAAAUAUUAAUUUCUUGACUUCUGCUCCAAGUGUGUAAAACCCAGAGGAAAUGGGAGUUGGGUAAGUUUUUAAUUAAAGCAUAUUCAGGGUGAUAAAGAUGUUGAAUCAUGGUGCAUCUUCAUAGAAUUAUACCGGGUAUGCAGGUAUCCUACAGUUACAGCAUUCCGGCAGAACACGAAGGAACUGCACCAGUGAGACAUGCAGCAAGAGGUCCUGCAGUAGGCAGGUGCUGAACUGCUUGCUUUAGGGCUGUGUUUCAGCAUCUUUUCUUCUCAGAGAACCAACAAUGCCUGAAGCCACUGACUUUCCCAAGCAGUUCAAAGAACUUUUUCAAAGUUGGAGCAAGUCAUCCAGUGAAAGAGGAAUGAAUUGACAUUUGGCUGUUUGUACUUUUCCAAAUGCACAACGUGACAUCAGAUGUAAAAAUGACCACUUUUUCCUGGAGGCAGAGCAGCAGUACCUUUGGGCUCCAACUUGGGGAAGUCUGGCCACAGACACGAGUCUGCAGCAGCUGGGAUUGAGAGAAGCACAAGAGAAACCCUGCCUGUCUGAGCAAACUGGGACAGAGUGAGGCAAAAAUGCCUGUUGUUUCUUACCUGUGGACUUAACUUUUGGACUAACAUGCAUUAAAUGCAUCCACUAAAUCAGGCAAAGCUGCUUUUAAGACAGUGAUGGAAAAAUUAUGUCUCGGUGCUCAUUUAUGGUUCAAGUAGCGUUUUAUAUAUUUAUUAUCAUUAUACACAACCUUGACAAUCUAUAUUGCCAUUCAAAAAUAAAUUGAGUAUUGUCAAUUUGCACAUGAUCUGUCACUAAUCAGGAUCCCAUUUACAUACAUAGUAAACAUUUUGCAUACUUAACACUGCCUUUAAUUCUAACAUCCCCAUCUCUCCCCCCCAUCCUGUGGAAAUAUGUUCAGAAUAUGUAAACAAACUUUUCCCACUAUGCAACAUUCAGUAACUAACUCUUUCAACUAACUUAACUGGACCGUGUAAGCACUUUAUCAGGGUGGCCGGUGGGCAUAGCUAUUAAUUGCAUUUUAUUUAAAUUACUCCUCAUGUAUCACAUUGCAGUGAUUCCUACUUUUCACUGUCUCAUGUGUUUUCCUCUCAUAAGGAAGACAGAAAAUGGGGUUUAACAACUCUCAUGUAAGUCACAUGAGCAAAUUCCUGCUGUAGCGCCAACAGUCCUGUUCAGUUGUGUUCACUUGUUACUUACAUGGAUAGUAGGUGGUUGAUGUCCUCAUGUUCAACUGCGGUGAACUAAGAAUGCAUGCAGGAGUCAGCUAGCACACAAUUUCUAGUGUGUUAAGAAUUUUUAUUUCCACUCCAAAUACUGUAAUGGAGUUGAAAUGAAAAUUUACAAGGCUGUCAACUGCUUUUGUUAAGCAAUGCAGUUUCUCCUACCUCUGUUUUCUGGUGCUUCAAAGGCUAGAGAAUAAUGAGAAAAGUAGUGAAAUAAUAUUCUUUCGUCCAGUUUCAAGAAAACUUGUAGAUAGCAGCAGGUAAUGUAAGCGUGCUUAGCUCUUCUAAAUAGUGUAUUGAUUCAUACCUCAAGUUUGGUCAUCUAGAGUUCAGUUCAGGUGGGCUUCAGUAUCGGCCCACAGAAGUAUUACUGUGUAGUAACGCAACAAUCAAAGCCCUGUUUUGGACGAUGAGGGUCAUGCUGAAACUUCUCUGCAGGAACUGCACUGAGCUUCUCUUCCUGUAACAAGGAAGGUACUCCAAACCAGCAAACGCAGCAUAUCUCUAACAUGGUUUUGUGUUUUUGAGAACUGGUGUCAGGUAAUCAGAAUGAAUGGACAACCAGAGUACUAAGAAGAAUGAAGACUUCUUUUUUUUCAAGUUGUUAACUUCUUAGUAAUACCUAUGUCAAGAAAGACCUAGGAAAAAACUCUCAAUUUCUUAGCCUGUUCCCUAAGAAUUACGCUUAAACUUAAUCCUCACAGGGAAAAAAAAAACAAAACAUUUUAAUACGGAAUAUUUGAGAAGACUUAUUGACAGGAAGAAGCAAGCUGGAA